GAACAGAAAGAAGGCAAAGCAACAGCAGCAAGCAAGGGAGAAAAAGAAAAAGGAGAUUUCUGACAUGCGCUUUGUGCGUGUCCACGGCCCGGUGUAGAGCCCCUUGGAGGUGAACUUCCUGGGUUGGCUUAUUUCAUCCAAAGGAUUGUCAGGCUAUUGGGAUAUUGUUUGGAGCAUGAAGAACUACUUGCCCAUGAGUUCUUGCCAAAGGGUACCCUAAAGAGCCAUCUCCUUGGAAGCAAGGGGGCUUGGCCAUUAAACCAAUUCCAUGGUCACACUGCUUAGCUUAAAAUUGCAAUAGGAGCAGCCAAAGUCCUCGCAUUCUUGCACCAGUUAGGCAAAUAAUCUGCAGAGAUUUCAUGCCCUCAAACAUAUUGCUGGACUCAGUAAGGUCUCAUGUUCGUUACUUAGAUUAAAUGAAGCACUACCACAUUGUGUUACCUUUAAAAUUUGGUUUUAAAAAUCUUCUCCUGCGCUGAAAUAAUUCACAUAUUUGCAAGAUCCCUCUUUUUGCAAUCCCUCUUGCCAUUUUGGAAGCAGCAAGAAUUGGAAACCUUUAUACUUUCAGGUUAAGUUUUCACAGAAAAUAUGGGAGUUAUCAUUGGAAAACAUCUUCAAAACCUGCUUCGCCAGCUAUGUAUCUUUUCCUAAUUUUUUGGUCGAGGGGCUUUGUUGUUAUGGUCUUUUAAAAUUGCAUUUUCCCAAGCUACUCUUUUCAUAGUUAAUUUAUGAUACCAAUCACUGGCCUGAGCUAAGCUCAUUAAAUCUGCAUUGUCCAGGUUCACUAGUGUAUAGAUCACACUAGCAGUAGAAAGAGACUUUGUCCUUUUCUUUGGCAUGUGUGUCGACAGUCCUUUAAUGCUAAAAUAUCAGAUUUUGGGUUAGCAAUAAAGGGUCCAAACAAAGACAUAUCACAUGCGACGACACAGGUUAUUGGAACUUAUCGUUUUGCAAGACCCGACUAUAUAGCCACAAGUAAUAUGAUGGGCUUUCUGAAUUGCUUAGGGUGAUCAUAGCGGAGAGCAUUGGACUUUGGACUUAGUUCGGCCGUGCCUGGUGCCAUGUUUAGCAAAAUCAUUAGAGUAUCACAUCAUUUUGUUUGAAUAGGUCAUUUGUUUGUGAAGAGCAAUGACUAUAGCUUUGGGAUGGUACUGGUUGAGUUUUUGGCUGAAAUGCGAGCAUAUGAUGCAAAUCAUCAAAUUGAUCAGCAGAUUUUGGCAAAUUAGGUCAAGCCUCAUUUUUCUAAAAGGUAAUUGACAAGAAUCAUGGACUCUCUUUUGAAAGGGCUAUAUCCUCUGAAAGAUGCUCUUGACAUAGCCGCACUCACAUUCCAAUGUCUCAGUAUUGUCCAAGCACCAGCCAUCGAUGAAUGAAGGUCAUGGAAACCCUAGAAAGAAUUAGUUGCGGUUGAUAGAAAACACUGUUUCUUAUACGAUUGAUCCCAACUGGGGCUAUCUUUCUUCAGACGCGAUUAGUAAAUUCUAU